UUACACGUAGUCAACCUGCCCUGGAGACAUGGACAACCCCGGGAAACUGGGAUUAAUCCGUGAUAGGUCAUCUCAUCUGGAAGGAGAGAUGGCUUAAAGGGGUACGCGGGCUUCCUCUGCGUAUCUGCUCCAGGAUGGGACUGCGUCCGAUCAGGCUGUUGGUGGGGUAAUGGCCCACCAAACCUGUAACCGGUACGGGCCUUGAGAGAGGUGGCCCGGAGAUGGACACUGAGAGAAGGGUCCAGGUCCUACGGGGCGCAGCAGGCGCGAAACCUUCGCAAUGCGCGAAAGCGUGACGAGGUUAAUCCGAGUGGCCCCCGCUGAGGGGGUCUUUUGUCAGCUGUAAAUAGGCAGGCGAAUAAGGGGAGGGCAAGCCUGGUGUCAGCCGCCGCGGUAAUACCAGCUCCUCGAGUGGUCGGGGCGAUUAUUGGGCCUAAAGCAUCCGUAGCCGGUUCCGUAGGUCCUCUGUUAAAUCCAGCCGCUUAACGGUUGACAUGCAGAGGAUACCGGCGGGACU
rnacentral:rRNA from 1 species